GGUAUUCUAAGGCGCUUGAGAGAACUCAGGAGAAGGAACUCGGCAAAUUGACACCGUAACUUCGGAAGAAGGUGUGCCUUUAGUAGGUGAACCUGUACAAGGGGAGCCCAAUGAGGUUGCAAAAAAUCGGUGGCUGCGACUGUUUAAUAAAAACACAGCACUCUGCAAACACGAAAGUGGACGUAUAGGGUGUGACGCCUGCCCGGUGCUGGAAGAUUAAAUGAUGGGGUGCAAGCUCUUGAUUGAAGUCCCAGUAAACGGCGGCCGUAACUAUAACGGUCCUAAGGUAGCGAAAUUCCUUGUCGGGUAAGUUCCGACCUGCACGAAUGGCGUAACGAUGGCCACACUGUCUCCUCCUGAGACUCAGCGAAGUUGAAAUGUUUGUGAUGAUGCAAUCUCCCCGCGGAAAGACGGAAAGACCCCAUGAACCUUUACUGUAGCUUUGUAUUGGACUUUGAACAGAUCUGUGUAGGAUAGGUGGGAGGCUUUGAAGUGUGGUCGCUAGAUCGCAUGGAGCCAACGUUGAAAUACCACCCUGGUGUGUUUGAGGUUCUAACCUAGGCCCGUAAUCCGGGUCGGGGACAGUGCAUGGUAGGCAGUUUGACUGGGGCGGUCUCCUCCCAAAGCGUAACGGAGGAGUUCGAAGGUACGCUAGGUACGGUCGGACAUUGUGCUAAUAGUGCAAUGGCAUAAGCGUGCUUAACUGCGAGACUGACAAGUCGAGCAGAUGCGAAAGCAGGACAUAGUGAUCCGGUGGUUCUGUAUGGAAGGGCCAUCGCUCAACGGAUAAAAGGUACUCUGGGGACAACAGGCUGAUACCGCCCAAGAGUUCAUAUCGACGGCGGUGUUUGGCACCUCGAUGUCGGCUCAUCUCAUCCUGGGGCUGUAGCCGGUCCCAAGGGUAUGGCUGUUCGCCAUUUAAAGAGGUACGUGAGCUGGGUUUAAAACGUCGUGAGACAGUUUGGUCCCUAUCUUCCGUGGGCGCUGCAGAUUUGAGGAAGCCUGCUCCUAGUACGAGAGGACCGGAGUGGACACACCUCUGGUGUAUCGGUUGUCACGCCAGUGGCAUUGCCGAGUAGCUAUGUGUGGAAGAGAUAACCGCUGAAAGCAUCUAAGCGGGAAACUCGUUUCAAGAUGAGAUCUGCCGGGGCCUUGAGCCCCCUAAAGAGUCGUUCAAGACCAGGACGUUGAUAGGUCGGGUGUGGAAGCGCAGUAAUGCGUUAAGCUAACCGAUACUAAUUGCUCGUGCGGCUUGACC
rnacentral:rRNA from 1 species